rnacentral:rRNA from 1 species
GAUCAUUGCUCAGGAUGAACGCUAGCUACAGGCUUAACACAUGCAAGUCGAUGGGCAGCAUGGUCUUAGCUUGCUAAGGCCGAUGGCGACCGGCGCACGGGUGAGUAACACGUAUCCACCCUGCCGUCUACUCUUGGACAGCCUUCUGAAAGGAAGAUUAAUACAAGAUGGCAUCAUGAGUUCACAUGUUCACAUGAUUAAAUGUAUUCCGGUAGACGA